GUCUACAGCCAUGCCACCCUAAACAAGCCUGAUGUCUGAGCUCGGAAGCUAAGCAAGGUCGGGCCUAGUGAGUACUUGGAUGGGAGACCACCUAGGAAGACCAGGUGCUGUAGGCA
rfam:Pteropus alecto contig104151, whole genome shotgun sequence.